UGGUGGAUUGAUUUGUCAGGUUGAUUCCGACAACGAACGAGAUCCAAGCUUUCUAGUUCUGGGUUCCCUUCAUCUGUUGGGGAUCUCCUAGGUUAGAAGGACGGUGUUGGCUUACAACAAUGAAGGGUUGGGGCGGAUAACA
rnacentral:rRNA from 1 species